CCAGGUCACUCAGUACAGAUUUUAAACGUUCCUCAAAAUCUCCCCGAAAUUUGGCUCCUGAAAUGAGAGCGCCUAAAUCUAGGACAAUAACACGUUUAUCCUUCAUGGACUCAGGGACCUCUCCACGAAUGAUUCGCGAGGCUAAUCCCUCCAUAAUUGCUGUUUUACCUACACCAGCCGGACCAACUAACGCAGGAUUAUUCUUUGUGCGUCGAGAGAGAAUUUGGAUGGUUCUUUGAAUCUCUUCUUCACGCCCAAUUACAGGAUCCAAUUUUCCUUGUUUAGCCAAGGCUGUUAAGUCUGUGCCAUAUUCUUCCAAAGCGGCUCCUUGUUUGCGUCCGCCGCCUAAAUCCAUUCGAAAAUUUCCUCCAUUUGGAUUUGCUGCAUAAAAGCGUACUUGCUUCCAUCCAAACUUUGGAGAUCUCUUAGCUAUGAGUACAGAAGCAUUACUUGGUCUUAUAGAAAAUGGUGUUUCAGCUAACAGCCGUUUUUCAAAAAUGGGUCGAGUACUCAAUGCCCGAAGAGAAGUUUUUAAACUUCCUUGGUACCUACGGAGCGAUUGUAUUCGUAUCGGAAUACUCUUAGGUAAAAUAUUCAUGGUUUGCGAAAUCUUCUCAUUUUCUUACCUACUGCUUAUAUAUAUAUAUAUGAAUCUAUAAAGUGUCGGCUAACUAAAGAAUUACCUGGAAGGUAGUAGCAAAUUCUUAUAACGAGCUAACUAAGGUUGGCAAAUAACGCGUGCGUUGCUUUUCGUAAAAGAGCUCUUUUAAACUGCAAGCUGCAUCAAAUUAGUAAGAGCAACUGACAAUUUUUCUUACUCAGUAGCCUUAUCACCGAUAUCUAUAUUGUGGUCAAAGAAUCUACAAUUCAUUAGCAUCCAUCGUAUGAUAGCGUUAAAUAAAAGAAUAUGAGGUAAAAGAUUAUAUGUAGCACGAAUUGCUCUUGGACGAAGCAACUGAGAAGAACAGAAUGAAAGUAAAUAAGCGACGUUUAUAAGAAAUUUCAAAAAGGGCCUUUCUCAACGAAGUAUUGUUAUCAAUUUCUGUUUUUAUAAUUUUCUAUUCUAAUAGCUUUCUUAAUGUCUACAAGAUUAGAAUGAUUGGCAGAUUUGCUGUGUAAUUGCUAAUUUUAAGAAUACGUUUUUGCAAGCUAUUAAUUAAAAACUAUUUGGGAUUAAUUGAAACAGCGGUAUAGACUAUUUAUAAGUCGUUAGCUGUAACUCUUUUGAUAGAUUCAAAACGUUUAGCAAAUUGUAUACUUAAAUCAUUCAUAUCCUUACUGGUACAUACUGCUACAAUUUAAAAAUUUGUCAAUAUAAUGUUAUUUCAACAAACAUUGAGUGUAAUACAUGAAUUCCUGAGCAUCGCCCCAUAUAGCAAGCAUUUAUA